GGUUUUUAUAACUAAUGAUACUUCUUAUAUAAACUUAUACAUAUGUUAAAACAACAUACGGUCUGAUACUCGUAUUACAAAAGUAACAUGUGGUGUUCCUCAGGGUCUAUCCUAGGUCCAUUACUGUUCUUAAUAUAUAUAAACGAUCUACCUAAUAGUGAAUUGGUAUCAGAUGGCCAUUUAUUCGCUGAUGAUACCAAUUUGACAUUCGCGGACAGCGACCCAGACAAGUUAAUCUCUGGGGCCGAUUGUAUAAAAAAGUGAUUAAAGUUAACUAUAGUUAGUGGAAACGUCAUCCAAUAAAAAGCGCGUAUUUGAGAGUUAAUCACUAUUUAACUACAAAAUAGUGAUUAAAAAAGUGAUUAAGAGUUUUAUACAACGGCCCCUGGUUAUUUCAGCAGCGAACGAAAAAGAGUUAACUACUUUUUAACUGCAGUUAGCGCUAACUACGUUUUUAUACAACCGGCCCCUGUUCUAUAAAUGAUGAUAUAACUUGAAUAAACUAAGUCUGAAUGCUAUUAAAACUAAAUGUAUGUUUAUUGCAUCCAGACAAAAAUUAAGUACUAUCCCAGAAGAACCUAAUGUCGCUAUCUCCGGAAAUAAAAUCGAAAGAGUCAGGACUUACAGGGUAGGGGUAAAACGCGGAAACGGAACGGAACGGACCGCCGGAACCGGAAACGGAAAAAAGGGUAAAAUGUGGAAAAGAGGGUAAAACGCGGAAAAAAGGGUAAAACGCGGAAAAAAGGGUAAAACGCGGAAGAGGGUAAAACGCGGAAAAAAGGGUAAAACGCGGAAAAAAAGGUAAAACGCGGAAGAGGGUAAAACGCGGAAAAAAGGGUAAAACGCGGAAAACAAACUUUGAAACCAAACUUUGAUUUUGUUAACAAUUUUUAACAAAAUCAAAUUUAAUCUAAUUAAAUACCAUAAUAAAACAAAGUAAAUGUACCUCAUUAUUGUAUUGAGUUCUAUUUUUGAGAAGUCGGCAUGUGACAAAGUAAACUUUCUUUGGAGUACUUUUACUUGGAACGAAGUCGUUUAAAGAAGUAACGUUUUGCUUCGUUAUUUUCAUUAUCUUGCGAAGUAUUUUGUUACUUUCUAACUUUUGUUUAAUUUUACGUGAUGUAUUCAGGAUUUAUUUUAAUUUUGGGAUAGGUAAUAGGACCUCUACAUGCGUCUGGAUGGAUUUCUUAUAUCUUCAACGGGAUCUGGAGAGUAGACCAUGCCGUGAAAUAUUGUAUAUUAGGUGCACGCAUAUAACGCGUGUGUUGUUUUGUAUGUCAAUCCAUUGGAGAAGUCCCCCCCUCCCCU